UACGUAGGGUGCGAGCGUUGUCCGGAAUUAUUGGGCGUAAAGGGCUCGUAGGCGGUUUGUCACGUCGGGUGUGAAAACUCAGGGCUUAACCCUGAGCCUGCUUCCGAUACGGGCAGACUAGAGGUAUGCAGGGGAGAACGGAAUUCCUGGUGUAGCGGUGAAAUGCGCAGAUAUCAGGAGGAACACCGGUGGCGAAGGCGGUUCUCUGGGCAUUACCUGACGCUGAGGAGCGAAAGUGUGGGGAGCGAACAGG
rnacentral:rRNA from 1 species